GAGAGUCAGUUGGCUUCUAGGAAACCAGAAAUACUACUUUAGCUGGGGAAACCAGAAAAGCAUAUGUGGAUGCAAAGAGCCUGGGGAAUUGUGAGCGAAGAAUUUCGAGGAAUAGUAGCAUUAGAAGCUGGAACUACCAAAAUAUUGAAUAAUGUUUCAAGGGUAGAAUCAAGAAUAUCAAUAUCGCUUGGUCUUAAUGAUGAAUCCACACCCCAACAUUCAAACAAUAGUUUAAAACAUUCCCAAGGAUCAGCCUUAUUUUGGCUUGCUGUGAUUACAAGCAUAUCAGUGCUAAUUGCGAUAAAUAUAGGUGGUUUAAGUCUUUUCAAUCCUUGAUAUUGCAAUGUGCAGCUUAGAAGGAACUAAUUUUUAGUCAUUUUACUUCAUCAAUUAAUUCUUCAAAUCAUGAAGGUCAGUUCACAGAAUUGGAUGCUUAGAAAACUGUCUUAUUCAAUGGCGGGCGGGGCAACAUUUAUUGUUUAUAUAUUGAUGGUGGAUUCACCAAGAAAAUGAAAAUAGUUUUUAGCAAUUUUAUAGUUGUUGGCAGAGGAAUGUUCAGUUGGCGGCAGAGAAUUUUUGCUUCUUGUCAAAGCUUUAUAUACAGUAAGUGGAAAAAAUCAUCUUGUAAUAUUCUCUAGUUUUUAUUCAUAAAACACUUGUACAUUUUUGUCUUACUAAUCAGAUUUAGUUUUUAGUUUUUCUACAUGAUUCUCAUU